rnacentral:rRNA from 1 species
AGCGAACGCUGGCGGCAGGCCUAACACAUGCAAGUCGAACGGGCUCUUCGGAGCUAGUGGCGGACGGGUGAGUAACACGUGGGAACGUGCCUUUAGGUUCGGAAUAAGCCCGGGAAACUGGGUCUAAUACCGAAUGUGCCCUUCGGGGGAAAGAUUUAUCGCCUUUAGAGCGGCCCGCGUCUGAUUAGCUAGUUGGUGAGGUAAUGGCUCACCAAGGCGACGAUCGGUAGCUGGUCUGAGAGGAUGACCAGCCACAUUGGGACUGAGACACGGCCCAAACUCCUACGGGAGGCAGCAGUGGGGAAUCUUGCGCAAUGGGCGAAAGCCUGACGCAGCCAUGCCGCGUGGAUGAUGAAGGUCUUAGGAUUGUAAAAUCCUUUCACCGGUGAAGAUAAUGACUGUAGCCGGAGAAGAAGCCCCGGCUAACUUCGUGCCAGCAGCCGCAGUAAGAC